rnacentral:ncRNA from 2 species
UUGAAACUUUUGCUCCGAACCGUUACUCCCUGUCGUCAAGGCGUUGCCGUAGCUAUGGGGGCCGGUCUAAAGGAUGUGAUGGCAGGCAGACCUAUGGUCUGCCUGUCUGUCCCAUCCUAGAGGGUCCGGUGAGAAAUCUCCGAGGCCUCCCGCCUUUCCAGGCAUCGGAAAGGAGCGCCUUUAUCCAAUUC